AAGACAGGCCAAGGGCAGCCCAGCUCCAGCUCUGUGGCCUAAGAAGGGGGUGUUUGUCACCAUGGCCUUGACCCCUGUCCUAUUCGUGCUGCUCUGUCACUGGACAGGCUCCCUGUCCCAACCUGUUGUGACUCAGCCACCCUCCCUCUCUGCCUCUCCGGGAACGACUGCCAGACUCACCUGCACCCUGAGCAGGGACAUCAACGUGGGCAGCUAUACCAUAUACUGGUACCAACAGAAGACUGGGAGCUCUCCCCGGUAUCUCCUGUACUACUACUCAGACUCAAGUAAACACCAGGGCUCUGGGGUCCCCAACCGCUUCUCCGGAUCCAAAGAUGCCUCGGCCAAUGCAGGACUUCUGCUCAUCUCUGGGCUGCAGCCUGAGGACGAGGCUGACUACUACUGUGCAAUCUGGCACAGCAGUGCUGGGCACAGUGACACACACACAUGGGGAAGUGGGACAAAUUCCUCAGCCUGCUCAGACCUCU